UACGUAGGGUGCAAGCGUUGUCCGGAAUUAUUGGGCGUAAAGAGCUCGUAGGCGGUCUGUCGCGUCGGCUGUGAAACUUGGGGCUCAACCCCAAGCCUGCAGUCGAUACGGGCAGACUAGAGUGCGGUAGGGGAGACUGGAAGUUCCUGGUGUAGCGGUGAAAUGACGCCAGAUAUCAGGAGGAACACCGGUGGCGAAGGCGGGUCUCUGGGCCGUAAACUGACGCUGGAGGAGCGAAAGCCGUGGGGAGCGAACAGG
rnacentral:rRNA from 1 species